rnacentral:rRNA from 1 species
AAUCAACGCUGGCGGCGUGCCUCAGACAUGCAAGUCGAACGCGAAAGUUUCCUUCGGGGAACAAGUAGAGUGGCGCACGGGUGAGUAACACGUAGGUAAUCUACCUUUGGAUGGGGAAUAACAACCGGAAACGGUUGCUAAUACCGCAUAAUGCAGCGGCACCGUAAUGGUGACAGUUGUUAAAGCGGGGAUCGAAGACCUCGCGUCUGAAGAGGAGCCUG